UCCUUCCAAACGCCGUCGGAGGCCACUGCCCGCAUUACCCGCCGGGUGUUCUCCCCAGGGUUUGGACCUCCAACGAGCCUUAAAUGAUGUGUCUGCAAGAUGGAAUACAUUUUCUAAAUAGUAUCGUCUUUUAUCUUUUCUUCAAGGGAGAGGAGUUCAUUGAUGGUGCCACACACUUCAAGGCUCAUCUCCUCUGCUUGCUGGCAAGUCCCAUCACCCAGGGCACGAGCAUAAAGUUCAUGCAUGGCUGCUAUUGUGCUCCUCAUUGCCUUCAUCUCACUCUCUAUGCUUACUAUUUUUUGAAUGAGGAGGCUAAGGAGGUGAUCUGAGGAGAAUCAAUAUUGAUUUGUUAAAAUUAAGGACCUGGUUUAACCAGCAGUGGAGAGAGUCAUGAAGGAGAAUCACCAAAUAACACUGAUAGCGAAGGGUGUCUCUGGGUGGAGUUGGCCUUAUUGGCACAUCAGGCAUGGGAAGCUCUCCACAUCUUGAUGGCAUCUUUAUUGAUUGAUUGAAGGUGGUUUGCUUGUUAGGUUCAUACCUUCAUCAGAGCUGCUGAGACACACCGGUCGUCCUUUUCCUUUUGGGGGGUGUCAUCACAGCUCUCAAGUGAAGAUUGCACAGCUGCUUUUUUCGACCACUUUUUUGCUCUUUCAUAGUCAUCUGAAGCAAAAAUAUGCCUCCUAGCAACCUGAAUCAGUGGGUUUCUACCAGAACGCACCAUCCUCUUGAGUGUUUGCAGGUAGUUUUCAAACAUGAAGGCACUACAAUUUUCCAGACCACCGAAGUUUUCGGCAUCUUUUGCUAUGUGCAGCAUGGCAUGUGUGUUGUAAACAAGGAACUCUUGUCCAUAAAGAUUCCGACCUUUUUCCACAAAAUAAUGCAGCAGUUCAUCUGCAUAUUUCGAGUGUUCCUGCACAAGACUUGGACAUACCAAGAUUAUCAUGGCCACGCUAAAGGAAAGGAAGUGCAAAUACAUUUCAUCAGGCAGUAUUCCCUUCAACACAAUCUUCCCAGUGUAAAGAAGGAACUGACGAAACUCAGUCGCUUUCCACCUGUCCAGUUCCUCAAGACCUCUAGGCUUUCGCACAAAAGUAGAUGGGAUGUAUUUCCGAAGAGACCGCAGUCUUGCACUAAUCUCUGUGAUUUGGCUGGCUGAAACCCUCACAACUCUGUCUCCUCUGGUCCAGAUGUGCAGGAGUCUUUUCAUUACACCUAGACAAGCCUGGUGCAUGUAAUCAAUGAGAAGACUCUGCACCAUGUCUAUGGGGAGGUGAGACAGAGUGAAUCCCAUGAUUCAUCAGAUGAGCCAGUUCCCUAACUGUGUCUUCCAAAAAGCCAAGAUCUGUUGGUCGACUUAGACCGCUUGUCAGAGCCGUGGGGAAAAUGGUGACAGGGUCUAACAUGACUGCACAAAGAACUGGCCACAUACAUGUUCUGGAACUCUUGUACAGUGGUCAGAAGCCGAGGAUUCAUUCAAACUGUUAAUACCUUCCCAUGUUGCUGCUCUUGACUGUUCUUCCACAUUUGCAGAAUGCAAAUAGUGUUCAUUGUCAGAGAACUCUCCACAAAUCAUCUCCAUGUCAACAUCUUUUUGUGAUUGUUCUUCAAGUGGAAGAUCAAGUGAUUGUACUUCAGCUGGUGGAUUACUCUCCAGGUGGCAGUACCAACGAUGUUUCGUCCAGCAUUAAAUUACUGCAGAAGAAGAAUACCGCCAACGUGACGCGGAUAUUAUAUCUUAAUGGAGGAAUAAACCUGAAACAGACUUCUGUCCUGAUGUUUGGCUGUGGUCCCCCCAUCAUCCACUCUUUGGCAACAAGUCUUUGUAUGCAGACCACCAUGAUCUAAUCUAUACAGACCUAGUUGUCUCUUCUCCCACAAACUCCACUUUCAGGAGUACCUUUUACAAAGGUGUCACCAUGAGCUCCCGACCUCUUGACCUCUCCGUGGCUGAGCUGUAUUAGGACUUUGUCAGAACUACAUCUUUUUUGGUCACCACAAUCUGGAUGUGUUCAGUGAGGAUUCAUCGGUGGAUUUCACCUUUGGAAAAGUUUAGGCUGGGAGUGUGUUGUCAUACCAGCAGAAACAAGCUGCAUCAUUACUCACCAUCAAGAUGUCCCAUCACCACCACAUCUACCACUUAUUGGUUACAGCCUUGGCACAUCUGUCUGCUUUUUUGUCCAUAGUAAACAUAGUUUUUUAUUUGUAUGUAACCAACACACUUGUACAGGAAAUGUUUAACACUUAAUUAAAGUACUUAUACAUGUU